GAUGAAGAACGUAGCGAAAUGCGAUAAGUAAUGUGAAUUGCAGAAUUCAGUGAAUCAUCGAAUCUUUGAACGCACAUUGCGCCCCCUGGUAUUCCGGGGGGCAUGCCUGUUCGAGCGUCAUUUCACCACUCAAGCCUCGCUUGGUAUUGGGCAACGCGGUCCGCCGCGUGCCUCAAAUCGACCGGCUGGGUCUUCUGUCCCCUAAGCGUUGUGGAAACUUUCGCUAAAGGGUGUCCGGGAGGCUACGCCGUAAAACAACCCCAUUUCUAAGGUUGACCUCGGAUCAGGUAGGGAUACCCGCUGAACUUAAGCAUAUCAAUAAGCGGAGGA
rnacentral:misc_RNA from 1 species